rnacentral:lncRNA from 1 species
AGAUUGCGUAAGAAGCAACCGGCGAUGCCGAUAUCCAGCAGCUUGCCGAUGCCCUCCUUCUUUAGGCCUCGGCCAACGUUCUUGGAACAUGUACUACUACAAUCGAGUGCUCAGGAUGUGCCUACCGAGGGCAGAGAUACUGAACUGCAAUUCAUUUCGUUCGUAUCGCGAAUGCCAGGUACGCUGCCUUCCAGCAGCAGCAGCGCGUUAGUGGGCAUGUCGCUUCAUCAUUUAUUCACGCACUUGUUCAAAUAAACUGCUCUACGACAAAAGCAA